GACGAACGCUGGCGGCGUGCUUAACACAUGCAAGUCGAACGGAAAGGCCCUGCUUUUGUGGGGUGCCCGAGUGGCGAACGGGUGAGUAACACGUGAGCAACCUGCUCUUGACUUUGGGAUAACUUCAGGAAACUGGGGCUAAUACCGGAUAGGAGCCCCUGUUGCAUGGUGGGGGUUGGAAAGUUUCGGCGGUUGGGGAUGGACUCGCGGCUUAUCAGCUUGUUGGUGGGGUAGGGGCUUACCAAGGCUUUGGCGGGUAGCCGGCCUGAGAGGGUGACCGGCCACAUUAGGACUGAGGUACGGCCCAGACUCCUACAGGGGGCAGCAGUGGGGAAUAUUGCACAAUGGGCGGAAGCCUGAUGCAACGACGCCGCGUGCGGGAUGACGUCCUUCGGGUUGUAAACCGCUUUCGCCUGUGACGAAGCGUGAGUGACGGUACUGGGUAAAGAAGCACCGGCUAACUACGUG
rnacentral:rRNA from 1 species